GAAGAAUCAGCUACAACAACAGGGACAGGCACCACAGCUGAGACGACUGCCAUUUCCACAGCUGUAAGAACAUCAACAAGAACAACAACAGCGCCUACAACUACACCUGGCUCCACCAGUACCUCAACAACAGAAGAAACCACUUCAACAACAGUAUCUGCCACUACAGCACCGUCUACUUCCAGUUCCAUAACUG